rnacentral:tRNA from 1 species
CAAAAUGUAGCUUAACAAAAGCCACCCGCUUACACCGAGAAGUUAUCUGUUCGACCCAGAUCAUUUUGA